UACGAAGGGGGCUAGCGUUGUUCGGAAUCACUGGGCGUAAAGCGCACGUAGGCGGAUUGUUAAGUCAGGGGUGAAAUGCCAAGGCUCAACCUUGGAACUGCCUUUGAUACUGGCAAUCUCGAGUCCGGGAGAGGUGAGUGGAACUGCGAGUGUAGAGGUGAAAUUCGUAGAUAUUCGCAAGAACACCAGCGGCGAAGGCGGCUCACUGGCCCGGUACUGACGCUGAGGUGCGAAAGCGUGGGGAGCAAACAGG
rnacentral:rRNA from 1 species